GACGAACGCUGGCGGCGUGCUUAACACAUGCAAGUCGAACGGAGUGGCGAACGGGUGAGUAACACGUGGGUGAGCUUCCCUGCACUUCGGGAUAAGCGUGGGGAACUGGGGCUAAUACCGGGUAUUGUGGGAUGGGCCCGCGGCCAAUCAGCUUGUGGGUGGGGUAAUGGCGUCCCAAGGCGGCGACGGGUAGCCGGCCUGCGAGGGUGGACGGCCACAUUGGGACUGAGACACGGACCAGACUCCUACGGGAGGCAGCAGUGGGGAAGAUUGCACAAUGGGGCGAAGCCUGAUGCAGCGACGCCGCGUGGGGGAUGACGGCCUUCGGGUUGUAAACUCCUUUCACCAUAGACGCGGUACAUGGAGAAGAAGCACCGGCUAACUACGUGCCAGCAGCCGCGGUAAUAC
rnacentral:rRNA from 1 species